UACGAAGGGGGCUAGCGUUGCUCGGAAUCACUGGGCGUAAAGGGUGCGUAGGCGGGUCUUUAAGUCAGGGGUGAAAUCCUGGAGCUCAACUCCAGAACUGCCCUUGAUACUGAAGGUCUUGAGUUCGGGAGAGGUGAGUGGAACUGCGAGUGUAGAGGUGAAAUUCGUAGAUAUUCGGCGGAACACCAGUGGCGAAGGCGACUCACUGGCCCGAUACUGACGCUGAGGCGCGAAAGCGUGGGGAGCAAACAGG
rnacentral:rRNA from 1 species